rnacentral:rRNA from 1 species
GAUGAACGCUGGCGGCGUGCCUAAUACAUGCAAGUCGAGCGGCAACACGAGGAGCUUGCUCCUCUGACGUUAGCGGCGGACGGGCGAGUAACACGUGGAUAACCAACUUAUAAGUCUGGGAUGACUACGGGAGGCCGCAGCCGCUACCGGAUCAUACAUUCAACCGCUUGAAUCAAUAGUGCAUGAGACCUUUCCUGUUACUUUUAGCUGGUUUCGCGUCGCAUUAGCUAGUUGGUAAGGUAACGGCUCACCAAGGCAACGAUGCGUAGCCGACCUGAGAGGGUGAUCAGCCACACUGGAACUGAGACACGGUCCAGACUCCUACGGGAGGCAGCAGUGGGGAAUCUUCGGCAAUGGGCGAAAGCCUGACGGAGCAAUGCCGCGUGAGUGAUGAAGGUCUUCGGGUCGUAAAACUCUUUUGUUGGGAAAGAACAGAAGUAGGAGAAAAUAUGGACGUCUUGACGGUACCUAAUCAGAAAGCAACGGCUAACUUCGUG